GGGGAUGUAGCCAAGUGGAUCAAGGCAGU
rnacentral:tRNA from 1 species